UAUUAUUAUUAUUUGUAUUAUUAUUAGUAUUAUUAUUAUUAAUAAUAGUAUUAGUAUUGAAGUGAUGACCCCUCAAGUGGCUUAAUUGGUAGCUGCUGUCACAAGCUAACAGGGAGAGCUGAAGAAGAAAAGGAGGCACUUGCUGCCAUUGAGUUUGCAAUAGAGAAGCAGCUGGCNAGAGAAUAAAAGCUGAUCUGUCUGGAGUCAUUAGUUUGAGCAGCAAAAGUAUCACAGUGUGGAGCUUGGAAUAGGAGAUUUGGUCCAAAGAAUUGGCAGUUAGAAGCAGUUGUUUGAUUAGGGGAGUGCUUAGCCUAUUCACUUUUGUUUUGUCUUAGCUUGUAAUUGAUAGUAUUGUUGGAUGUCCUGCUGAAUAAGUUUUGAUUUAACUGUGCAGUAUCAAUUUGGGCAA